rnacentral:rRNA from 1 species
GAUGAACGCUGGCGGCGUGCCUAAUACAUGCAAGUCGAGCGAACAGACGAGGAGCUUGCUCCUCUGACGUUAGCGGCGGACGGGUGAGUAACACGUGGAUAACCUACCUAUAAGACUGGGAUAACUUCGGGAAACCGGAGCUAAUACCGGAUAAUAUAUUGAACCGCAUGGUUCCAUAGUGAAAGACGGUUUUGCUGUCACUUAUAGAUGGAUCCGCGCCGCAUUAGCUAGUUGGUAAGGUAACGGCUUACCAAGGCGACGAUGCGUAGCCGACCUGAGAGGGUGAUCGGCCACACUGGAACUGAGACACGGUCCAGACUCCUACGGGAGGCAGCAGUAGGGACUCUUCCGCAAAGGGCGAAAGCCUGACGGAGCAACGCCGCGUGAGUGAUGAAGGUCUUCGGAUCGUAAAACUCUGUUAUUAGGGAAGAACAAAUGUGUAAGUAACUAUGCACGUCUUGACGGUACCUAAUCAGAAAGCCACGGCUAACUACGUG